GGCACACAGGUAUGACAGGCAGUAAAACAAAGUGAAAUAAUUGUGUUUGUAGAAACGUCUGAUCAGCUGCAUUUCUUCUGAGAUCAGCUCCAAGUAGUUAAACACUAAUUGAAAAGCUGUUUAGGAGGGCAGGUAGGCUCCAAGUUAGAGUGACGCUGUAUUACACACAGCGUUUAUGAGACAGAAUAGGUACAAGCAGUUUUGCCACAUUUUUCUGUGUAGAUCAUCCUGUAUUGUCAUUUUAACCUUUUUCCAAUAUUUAAUGCAGCGACUUGCUUUAUAAACUUGUUCCACAACAACUACUCUCUUCCUCUAAUGCUUCCUGAUCACUGGCCACUAUAAACUCUCAUCUUAUGUUGCUCUUUGAUCAAUGUUUUAAUGUAUGAAUGAAUGACAACUAUCAGAUAUCGGCGUUGUAGACACACGAUGAAGUCAUCAAGUCCGCAUGUUCCAAUUGCGCAAUAACUUCGAUGCGUUCUUGCCUCGUCGAAAGUCUGGACUCGAAGUCCGACUAACAGGUGUGUACUCUCCAAGUCCACGAGUGCGCACUUGCGGACUAAGAAUUGAGAAACGGCCUAGGGCUCAUUUUUACGCCCCGAUUGACGUCAGAGGUGGCUAGCUGGCUAAGCUAAGCGAUCCCGCUGGACGAUAAACGCACAACUUGGAGUUUAUAUGGCCAGAAGUGAAGGUAAGUGGCGAUUUUUAUACCGCAGUUUGAAAACGCGAUCUUGCUCUUGGCUGUUUUAGUGGCAUUUUCCGGCGGAUUCUGUGGUUUUAGAGGCUUUGAGUGGUAUGGUUGUAACCAGCGGAGUCUCAGCUCUCGUCUGAGAGGCUGUUGGUGUGAAUUGUAUCAUGUUUCAUAGCGCCAGAAUCGAUAAUUCGGCAAGUGGGUUGACACGGUCACGAAUAUGGUUCAUAAUUCAUUUAGUUGGUGUUUGAGCUGUGUUUGGGGUGUGUAAUAAUGGCUGAUAUAUUUGGUUCGCCCAGGUUCUGCUGUUUAAUUUGAUGGUAAGCAUCACGACAUUCUGUCAGAAAUAAUGCACAUUAUUAGACAAUCUCUGAAAUGUUUACUGUCAGGCCCCCAAUUUGGGGGCGCUCGGGCUUAUAGGGUUGUCUCAGCACUUUUUUCCAUGCCAGCACCGUAUUUGCUGUGUUUUAAAUGCUGUUAAGAGAAUUUUUUUUCCUCUUAGGGAUUAAGGACUUGCCUCAUUUUCACAGCUCACAUAUUUUUCACAAUAGGCAGAUCAACUUGCAUUCAAAUGCCACAAAUGUUAGAGAUCCAAUGUGUGUUUAUUGUGCUAUUAUGAAUAAAAAAUAUAAUUUUAAAGACUGUUGACACUUCGAUAUUUUAGUUAUAGCUAUACUUAGAAGUGAAUUGAAUGACCGGUUGAUGAAAUGAUUGAUUGGUUGCAUGAAUGACUGAUUGAAUUGCAUUUCCUCCAGGGAUAUUAAAAGAAUAUGAAGAGAAGCAAAGAUAUUCAGAGCUUCUUCCUUAAAAGAAGGAAAGAGUCGGAGUCAGCCACAGCGUCUACCAGCAGCAGUGAAAAGGCCCACACAAGCCAACAACCCAGUGACAGUGAGGAUGAGCAGUCACUCCCCCAGACCAGCAUGUUGACCUGCCACACUUACAGGAGGAGGAGAGUGACUGUGAACCAGCGUUGUGUGGAACUCCAGCUACUCAGCAUGGUACUAGCAAGUCAAGAGGUGACACUGAUGACAGAGAACCUCCUAAUGUUGUACACGCCGCUCCGCCUGGACCUCACGGC